AUUUGAUCAUAUUUGUUUUAAUCAGGAUUGUAGUCAAUUAAAUGUGAUAUGGUUAGAAAUAAUUGAGCUAGGAUAAGAUGACAUGUGUAUCCAAUCUACAACCUUUCAAAACACCUGACGGCUCAAUUUUAGAGAAAGAACUAGUUGACUCACUGAAAACUUGGUCAGAAGUUGAGAAAUAUUAGACAUGAUUUUUAAAUUCUAUCUUAACAACCAACCUCACACUUUGGGAACUUUACUCCAUCUAAAGGAAAGCCUAAAUUAUUCUAUAGCAUAAAU
rnacentral:misc_RNA from 1 species